rnacentral:rRNA from 1 species
GUGAGGAAUAUUGGUCAAUGGGCGCAAGCCUGAACCAGCCAUGCCGCGUGCAGGAUGACUGCCCUAUGGGUUGUAAACUGCUUUUAUACGGGAAGAAACCCCUCCACGUGUGGAGGAUUGACGGUACCGUAAGAAUAAGGAUCGGCUAACUCCGUGCCAGCAGCCGCGGUAAUACGGAGGAUCCAAGCGUUAUCCGGAAUCAUUGGGUUUAAAGGGUCCGUAGGCGGAUCUGUAAGUCAGUGGUGAAAUCUCCCGGCUCAACCGGGAAACUGCCAUUGAUACUGCAGGUCUUGAAUGUUUGUGCAGUAGCUAGAAUAUGUAGUGUAGCGGUGAAAUGCUUAGAUAUUACAUGGAAUACCGAUUGCGAAGGCAGGUUACUAACAAAUGAUUGACGCUGAUGGACGAAAGCGUGGGGAGCGAACAGGAUUAGAUACCCCGGUAGUCC